rnacentral:rRNA from 1 species
GUGCCAGCAGCCGCGGUAAAACGUAGGUGGCAAGCGUUAUCCGGAUUUACUGGGCGUAAAGCGUGUGCAGGCUGCGCUUCAAGUGGUGUAUGAAAUCGCUCGGCUCAACCGGGCGCGGUUAUGCCAGACUGGAGUGCUCGAGUCUGAAAGAGGGGGGUGGAAUUCCGGGUGUAGUGGUGAAAUGCGUAGAGAUCCGGAGGAACCCCAGAGGCGAAGGCGGCCCCCUGGUUCAGCACUGACGCUCAGACACGACAGCAUGGGGAGCGAACGGGAUUAGAAACCCGCGUAGUCC